UACGGGGGGGGCAAGCGUUGUUCGGAAUUACUGGGCGUAAAGGGCUCGUAGGUGGCCAACUAAGUCAGACGUGAAAUCCCUCGGCUUAACCGGGGAACUGCGUCUGAUACUGGAUGGCUUGAGUUCGGGAGAGGGAUGCGGAAUUCCAGGUGUAGCGGUGAAAUGCGUAGAUAUCGGGAGGAACACCAAUGGCGAAGGCAGCUCGCUGGGACGGUACUGACGCUGAGACGCGAAAGCGUGGGGAGCAAACAGG
rnacentral:rRNA from 1 species